UUUGCUUUUACAUUUAUCCACUUUUCUUUACAGUACUAUGAUGGGGUUGAAGCUGGACUAGUUCUACAGUUAUUUCAUCAAGGACGACAAAUUCGAAUGUUUAGGACAGAAAGCAAAGUUGCAACUGAAAAAUGGAGAAAUGCCAUGCAUAGCGCCACCAUACUGUAAAUAAUGGACUUUAAGGAGAAUGUACGGAUAAAAUAAGAUGCUCAACAGACUUCCCAUUUACAACUACUUGCUGUAAAUAUCUUUACGAAACUAAUGAUCUUUCUACCAAAAGUGGUGCCUUAAAAUAGUAAUUUUGAUAUAAAUACAAUAAUUUUUAUUAAAUUUUCUAUAAACAUUUAUAUAUUUCUAAAUAUAUCUUAGCCAUAGGCUGUUCUAUUACAGAAUGUGUAAAAAUACUAGAAUUGUGUAUAAAUAAUAAUCGGUUUAUUGAAAAUAUUUUCCAGAUUUAAAUGAAUAUUAAAAUUUAAGUAUGGAUGAUAGAAACUAGCAAUUUACAGUAAAUUGCUAUAUUACAUAAAUAUUACAUAAUUAAAUAUAUUAUAAUUUCAUAAUUCUAUUGGUGUGGAAGCACUCAAGUAAUGUUUACAGUUAAUUUGUUUAUUUUAAAUUUUUUCAGAUUUCGUUGAGUACAGUAAAACUUGAAAGAAUACUUAUUUUUCUAUAUAAAGGAAAUACAAAUAAUAUUUUAGAAGAUAUACCGUACUUUACUGUAUUUUAAUUAUGUUUAUACUAAAUAAUAGUUAAAUUUUAAAUCAGGUUUUUAAAUUUACUUGAAUAAAGCCAAGUUAACAUUGUACUCU